rnacentral:tRNA from 1 species
GCCGGUGUAGCUCAGUGGUAGAGCAGCGGUUUCGUAAACCGCAGGUCAGCGGUUCAAGUCCGCUCACCGGCU